rnacentral:lncRNA from 1 species
CAUAUUCAUAAAAUGUUGGAAAUCACAUUGUAAAUUUUUCUUGAGCCUCUUCUGUUUUUUAGUGGAUUUUCCAAGUAAAACGUUAUCAAAGGUACCAGGAUUAUAAUUUAAUACCUCAGAUGCGUGUUUUGUCUACAUAAGACUCAUCAGUGAUGCUCAGAUAAAAAAAGUUGUAAAGCCAAACAAGUACAAAGUUGAAGAGCAUUGAGGACCCAAAAUUCCAAAAUGUUGUUCCACUUAUGGCUAAGGUAAUCUAUUCCUGGGAUAAGAAAAUCCUUAGUUUUUUUUCAAAAAAUUCAAAGUUUUGUAAGCAGGAAAUUUAUAAAAAUGACCAUAUAAUUGAUAUUAAUAUCUGUCAUUGAUUUGUUGAUGUACUGCAGGUGGGCGG